UACGUAGGAAGCGAGCGUUGUUCGGAGUUACUGGGCGUAAAGGGUGUGUAGGCGGUCCCCUAAGUUUGGUGUGAAAUCUCCCGGCUCAACCGGGAGGGUGCGCCGAAAACUGGAGGACUAGAGUGCGGGAUGGGAGAGUGGAAUUCCUGGUGUAGCGGUGAAAUGCGUAGAUAUCAGGAGGAACACCGGUGGUGUAGACGGCUCUCUGGACCGUAACUGACGCUGAGACACGAAAGCGUGGGUAGCAAACAG
rnacentral:rRNA from 1 species